GACGAACGCUGGCGGCGUGCUUAACACAUGCAAGUCGAACGGAAAGGCCCUGCUUUUGUGCGGUGCUCGAGGGGCGAACGGGUGAGUAACACGUGAGUAACCUGCCCUUGACUUUGGGAUAACUUCAGGAAACUGGGGCUAAUACCAGAUAGGAUCUCCUGCUGCAUGGUGGGGGUUGGAUAGUUUCGGCUGUUGGGGAUGGACUCGCGGCUUAUCAGCUUGUUGGUGGGGUAGUGGCUUACCAAGGCUUUGACUGGUAGCCGGCCGGAGAGGGGGACCGGACACAUUGCGCCUGAGAUACGCCGCAGAGUCGUAUGGGAGGCAGCAGUGGGGAAUAUUACACAACGGGACGAAGCCGGAUGAAGCAACGCCGCGUGCGGGAAGACGGCCUGCGGGUAGAAAACCGCUUUCGCCUGUGACGCAGCGUUAGUGACGGUAACGGGUAAAGAAGCACCGGCUAACUACGUG
rnacentral:rRNA from 1 species